UACGUAGGUGGCAAGCGUUGUCCGGAAUUAUUGGGCGUAAAGCGCGCGCAGGCGGUCCUUUAAGUCUGAUGUGAAAGCCCUCGGCUCAACCGAGGAAGGUCAUUGGAAACUGGAGGACUUGAGUGCAGAAGAGGAAAGUGGAAUUCCAAGUGUAGCGGUGAAAUGCGUAGAGAUUUGGAGGAACACCAGUGGCGAAGGCGACUUUCUGGUCUGUAACUGACGCUGAGGCGCGAAAGCCAGGGGAGCAAACGGG
rnacentral:rRNA from 1 species